rnacentral:misc_RNA from 1 species
GAUGAAGAACGUAGCGAAAUGCGAUAAGUAAUGUGAAUUGCAGAAUUCAGUGAAUCAUCGAAUCUUUGAACGCACAUUGCGCCCCCUGGUAUUCCGGGGGGCAUGCCUGUCCGAGCGUCAUUUCAACCCUCAGGGCCCGUUCGCGGGAACUGGUGUUGGGGAUCGGCCUCCCCCCGGAGGCCGGCCCCGAAAUGCAGUGGCGGCUCUACCGCGAUCUCCUCUGUGUAGUAGCGAUACCUCGCAGCUGGAUAGUGGUGGUGCCACGCCGUAAAAUCCCAACUUUACCAAGGUUGACCUCGGAUCAGGUAGGAAUACCCGCUGAACUUAAGCAUAUCAAUAAGCGGAGGA